rnacentral:rRNA from 1 species
UACGUAGGGAGCAAGCGUUGUUCGGAAUUAUUGGGCGUAAAGAGCGCGUAGGCGGCCUGGUAAGUCUGACGUGAAAUCCCGGAGCUCAACUCCGGAACUGCGUUGGAUACUGCCGGGCUCGAGUGUGGGAGAGGAGAGUGGAAUUCCCAGUGUAGGGGUGAAAUUCGUAGAUAUUGGGAGGAACACCGGUGGCGAAGGCGGCUCUCUGGACCACAACUGACGCUGAGGCGCGAAAGCCAGGGUAGCAAACGGG